UAAUUAACGAUUGUGACGUCAUGGAAAAUAUGGCCUCACUGCACCUGUUUUGUUUCUUUCUCUCAUUCACUUCAUUGGUACACGGCUGCUGUGAAAACUCGCUGAGACUCUACGAUGUCAAUGCAGACAAUGAAACCGAUUCAAUGAGUGAGGGAGCAGUCCAGUAUUGCUAUGGUGGGACUUGGUACGGUGUCUGUGAUUAUAGCUGGUAUUGCCAAGAAGCUAAUGUCGCCUGUCGUCAGCUAGGAUUUCUUGGAGCCCAUACUUAUGUUCGCAACAGUGGGAACUCGUAUGGCUAUUACAGCCCUAUCAGACACUAUUAUUAUUCUUGUAAUGGACAUGAGUCUUCGCUUAGUGAUUGCAAUUCACAUUAUCUGAAUAGCUAUUACUGUCGUUCAUCUGAUGCUGCUGGUGUACGUUGUGUUGACUUACCAUCAAAUACAACAAAUGAUACAGUAGUGUCCUGCUCAGUGCCUGGAUCUGUGCAGCUAUCAGGAGGUAAACUUGAGUCUGAAGGAGUACUGAAUUAUUGUUCUAAUGGCUACUGGGUUCAGUUUUGUGCUUUGGAUGAGGAAGAAGCAGUAGUAGCCUGUAAACAGUUGGGCUAUCAGCCUUUUGCAGCUCUUAUUUCUGUUGCUGAGCUUGAUUCAUGGAAUGAAGGAUACUCGCCACUUGCUGUGUCUUGUAAUCGCUAUGCCACUGAAACAAAUCUGAGCAAUUGCUCAUUUUCCAGUACCUAUACAAAUAACUAUUACUACAGUUCUGUCUGUACUGAAACAUGCACACAUCCUAAAGCCAUCAGAUGCUAUAGAGGGGACUUGUGCGUUGAUGGGAAGGUCCGUCUAGUUGAUGGCUCACUAAAUCAAGAAGGAAGAGUAGAAGUCUGUGUUAAUGGAGUGUGGGGCUCCAUUUGUGGACAAGGCUGGAGUACUAGUGAUGCUAGAGUAGUGUGUAAGCAGUUAGGUUAUCCUGACACUGAGCCCUAUAUAUCAACCAAUGGGAAAUAUGGAGCGGGGAAUGGACCCAUUUUCUUCUCAGGUGUUAGCUGUCAAGGAUGGGAGAAUAGUUUUUCGUUGUGUGGCAAAACCUCUUAUCGUCAUUUCACCUGUAGUCAUAAUCAUCUAGCAGGAACACUUUGUACUGAUGGUUGUACUGAAGGUGAGGUUCGCUUAGUAGGAGGUUCAUCAGAUAGUGAGGGAACUGUUGAAAUCUGUCAUGACAAACUAUGGGGACUCAUAACUGAUGCUGGCUGGGACAAUAAAGAUGCCAGGGUCAUAUGUAAACAGCUUAAUCUGCCAGUGGAAGGCUCAGUUGCUAUAAAAAGCUCAUGGUUUGGUAAACCGGACAGGGCAAUACAUUAUAGCUACUCUCUCUGCCAUGGAGAUGAACUAUCAUUCUCAAGCUGUUGGAAAGUAACUCAUUCUCUUUCUGAAGGAAGAAAUAUUUAUAAAGACAGUCAGUCAGCAGGUGUCAUUUGCCUCUCGUUUCCUCCAAGCUCGAGCAUAAUUUCAUCUAACAUUGUUUGUACUGUUACUAUAAACUAUAUUAACAGCAGUAGUACUACUACAACCAGAGUUUCUAGUAGCAGGAUAAGACCUAGUUCUAGCAGUGUGUUGACUAGUAGGGUAUCAUCUAGCUGUAUAGUCAGUAGCAGCAGUAGCAGUAUAUUCUCUACCACCAUUAACAGUGUAUCAUCUACUACUACCAGUGUAUUAUUUGCAGUUUCCAGUGAAUUCUUUUAUUCUACUGUUAAAUCACCUACUAGUAGCAGGAUGUCAUUUCAUAAUAGUGUAUCAGCUAUCAUCAACAGUGUUUCAUCUUCAAGUGGUGGUGACAGUGCAUCAUCUACUAGCUACACUUUCUCUGUGAGUAGCAUGAUGACUAGUAGUAGCAGUGUGCAGACUAGUGCUCAACUAACAGUGGGAUCAAAUGCACAAAAUAAUUCGCAGGUCUUUGGUUCUAUUGGAGUUGUCAUUGUUGUCCUUCUUGCUGUUCUUAUAAUUUUGGUAUCUGUUAUUGGAUGUGCAGUAGUUGCAUGGUGUGUGAGGACUAAUAUAAAGAAAGAAAGAUCAACAAAUCGUUCUCUUCCAGUAAUGCAAAUCCCAAGUUCCCAAUAUCAGAUGCUUGUCAAUCAAUCUACUGAUGCUGAUCCUAAAGACAGUUCAGAUGAGGAAUUUCCAGGGACGUGAACAAGGAGCUUAUGAUAAAGAACCAGAUGAGAAGGAACCACUUUGUGAAUUGUCAGCGUAGUUUUGUUCAUUGUUUCCAUGAUGACUCUCCUCUCUUGAUGACAUAUCUUAACAUCUUAACCAAGCAGCAAGGCAUUUGUUCAAACAUAAACUACAGUCGUCACACUUCCUUAGUUUCAGGUUUAAAAUGAUAAAAAUCAAUAUUUUACUGCAUGAUGCUAAAUUUAGCACAAACAUGUAUGAUAACUUUUUAAAAUGUUUUUUGAGUGCUGUGUGGAAUUCAGACUAAGUUAAUUUAAACUGGCAUAUAGACUAUAA
rnacentral:misc_RNA from 1 species